CCAACUGACUCAGUCUGGAACUGAAAGGAAGGAAGGAAGAUGUGUAGCUGAGACUCCCUGAACAAACCAUCCAUCAAGCAACUGGCCUUUGAGGAUCAACUGGCUGAGGGUGAGAGGAAAAUCUCCAGUCUUCCUGGUGGACAGAUUGACUAGGGAAAAGACCUCUACCUUACUGGGACCAUCUGAGGAUACCACAACUGGGAUCUCUGAUACCUGACCAACCAUUGACUCUAAGGAUAAAUCAUUUGUAAAUAAAGCAGAAACAUUGUUUACACAUUCUCCUUCCCCCAGGUUUACAGUAGGAAAAGAACACAAUAUAAUGACUUAGUUGCACCCCCUGCUCUCUUUACUCCAAAGUGAUAUAGAGUAAGGAAUAUAGAGGAAGGUGGCAGCAAGGGAAAUUGAUAGAGGAUGAAUACAAAAGUGUGGUUUGAAGCUAUAAGCAUAACAUCAGAAGUGAGAAAGCACAGAAUGAGCUGAGGCCAUUGACAGGGCUGCCUUGGCAUAUAUCAAAACCAAGACAACAUUUUGGAACCACAAAGGAGAAAGUCAAGAUGUGGAGGGGAUCACUGUGUAUAGAAUUAUAUUUCAUUCAAAACAGGUAAGAAACAAUUCCAAGAAAGAAUAGGUUAGUUAACUGUGUCAGAUUCUGAACAGAAGUCAAGGAAGAUGAUAAAUGAAAACAAUCAUCUUUGGAAUUGGUGAUUAGGAAGUCAUUCAAAAAAGUGAUGUACCUGGGUAGUACCUGGGUAGCUCAGAGAGAACCUGAGUAUCAGGCAUAGAGAUGGGAGGUCCUAGGUUCAAAUCUGGCCUCAGAUACUUCCUAGUUGUGUGACCCUGGGCAAGUCACUUGACCCCCAUUGCCUAGCCCUUACCACCCUUCUGCCUUGGAACCAAUACACAGUAUUGA
rnacentral:lncRNA from 1 species